rnacentral:piRNA from 1 species
UAUCAGAACAAAGACAUUCUUGUGUACUGGC